rnacentral:rRNA from 1 species
AUUGAACGCUGGCGGCAGGCCUAACACAUGCAAGUCGAGCGAGCGGCGGACGGGUGAGUAAUGUCUGGGCAACUGCCUGAUGGAGGGGGAUAACUACUGUAAACGGUAGCUAAUACCGCAUACCAUCAGAUGUGCCCAGAUGGGAUUAGCGAGUAGGUGGGGUAAUGGCUCACCUAGGCGACGCUCCCUAGCUGGUCUGAGAGGAUGACCGGCCACACUGGGACUGAGACACGGUCCAGACUCCUACGGGAGGCAGCAGUGGGGAAUAUUGCACAAUGGGCGCAAGCCGGAUGCAGCAAUGCCGCGUGUAUGAAGAAGGCCUUCGGGUCGUAAAGUACUUUCAGCAGGGAGGCGUUACCCGAAGAAGAAGCCCCGGCUAACUCCGUGCCAGCAGCCGCGGUAAUAC